UAAACAGUCGUAACAAGGUUUCCGUAGGGAACCUGCGGAGGAUCAUUACCUAGAGUUGUGGGCUUUGCCCGCUAUCUCUUACCCAUGUCUUUUGAGUACUUACGUUUCCUCGGUGGGCUCGCCCGCCGAUUGGACAAUUUAAACCCUUUGCAGUUGCAAUCAGCGUCUGAAAAAACAUAAUAGUUACAACUUUCAACAACGGAUCUCUUGGUUCUGGCAUCGAUGAAGAACGCAGCGAAAUGCGAUAAGUAGUGUGAAUUGCAGAAUUCAGUGAAUCAUCGAAUCUUUGAACGCACAUUGCGCCCCUUGGUAUUCCAUGGGGCAUGCCUGUUCGAGCGUCAUUUGUACCUUCAAGCUUUGCUUGGUGUUGGGUGUUUGUCUCGCCUUUGCGUGUAGACUCGCCUUAAAAGAAUUGGCAGCCGGCGUAUUGAUUUCGGAGCGCAGUACAUCUCGCGCUUUGCACUCAUAACGACGACGUCCAAAAGUACAUUUUUACACUCUUGACCUCGGAUCAGGUAGGGAUACCCGCUGAACUUAAGCAUAUCAAUAAGCG
rnacentral:rRNA from 1 species